UAAAACUAAAGCAGUCCUCCGCAGAGGAGGGGUGGUGGAGGGAAUAUAUAUGUAGAUAUAUAAAAUAAUUGUCUCACAACUAGGGUGACAUACCUUGCCUGCUCACUCAAUUUUAGUGCUCCUUAGUUAUCCAUACUGACCAUCUAGUCUCGAUACACCCAUAUAUAUUUUUUUUUUGGGAAUAUGGUGGGGUGCACGGGAUUCUGCCGUCUGCCAGCGGUGGAGAGCUCGUACCCUGACCACUCCCUCACCUUUAAUGUACCGCAGUUUUGAAUUGCACACACUUCAGUUCACACACACAUUCUUACACACCGACAUGUACAUACAUUACACACACACACAUUGAGCGGGGGGCAGAUGGGGGCCUGAAGGGGGCCCCUUUUAUUCUCCCUCUCUGGGACCUUGGAGGGUGUGGUGGGUGGUCCCGGGGGGGGGGGUCUGGAGAGUACCCGGAAAACCUGCCUGGUCCUUGACCCACAGUGGCACAUCCUUGAUGAUAAUACGUUGUUGUAAAUUUGUAUUAUGUGGUGGUUGAUGUUGCUAUUUAUUGUUAUUGUUGUUAUCACAGCUGCAGCUGUACUUAUCAUUUUUGUUAUUGCUAUUACUUUUGUUAUUGGCUCUAGUUGUUUUUCUUUUUAUUUAUUUUUAUUAUUUUUAUUUUCUUUUUGUUUUUCUUAAUUUUUUGUUUUUUUUUCCGCAAUGGACAUGAAAAAAAAGCAGUCCUCCGCAGAGGAGGGGUGGUGGAGGGAAUAUAUAUGUAGAUAUAUAAAAUAAUUGUCACACACCUGGGGUGACAUGCCUUGCCUGCUCCCCCAAUUUUAGUGCACCUUAGUUAUCCAACCUGACCAUCUAGUCUCGAUACACCCAUAUAUAUAUAUGUAUAUAGAUAUAGAUAUUUCUUCUUUUUUCUUUUUUUCGCAAUGGACAAUAAAAAUAACGCAGUUCUCCGUAAAGGAGGGAUGGUGGAUGGACUAUAUAUAUACAUAUAUAUAAAAUAAUUGUCACACACCUGGGGUGACAUGCCUUGCCUGCUCCCCCAAUUUUAGUGCACCUUAGUUAUCCAACCUGACCAUCUAGUCUCGAUACACCCAUAUAUAUAUGUGUAUAUAUAUACAUAGAUAUUUCUUCUUUUUUUGUGUUUUUUUUCGCAAUGGACAAUAAAAAUAACGCAGUUCUCCGUGAAGGAGGGAUGGUGGAUGGAAUAUAUAUAUACAUAUAUAUAAAAUAAUUGUCACACACCUGGGGUGACAUUCCUUGCCUGCUCCCCCAAUUUUAGUGCACCUUAGUUAUCCAACCUGACCAUGUAGUCUCGAUACACCCAUAUAUAUAUGUGUAUAUAUAUAUAUAGAUAUUUCUUCUUUUUUUGUGUUUUUUUUCGCAAUGGACAAUAAAAAUAACGCAGUUCUCCGUGAAGGAGGGAUGGUGGAUGGAAUAUAUAUAUACAUAUAUAUAAAAUAAUUGUCACACACCUGGGGUGACAUGCCUUGCCUGCUCCCCCAAUUUUAGUGCACCUUAGUUAUCCAACCUGACCAUGUAGUCUCGAUACACCCAUAUAUAUAUGUGUAUAUAUAUAUAUAGAUAUUUCUUCUUUUUUUGUGUUUUUUUUCGCAAUGGACAAUAAAAAUAACGCAGUUCUCCGUGAAGGAGGGAUGGUGGAUGGAAUAUAUAUAUAGAUAUAUAUAAAAUAAUUGUCACACACCUGGGGUGACAUGCCUUGCCUGCUCCCCCAAUUUUAGUGCACCUUAGUUAUCCAACCUGACCAUCUAGUCUCGAUACACCCAUAUAUAUAUGUGUAUAUAUAUAUAUAGAUAUUUCUUCUUUUUUUGUGUUUUUAUUCGCAAUGGACAAUCAAAAUAACGCAGUUCUCCGUGAAGGAGGGAUGGUGGAUGGAAUAUAUAUAUACAUAUAUAUAAAAUAAUUGUCACACACCUGGGGUGACAUGCCUUGCCUGCUCCCCCAAUUUUAGUGCACCUUAGUUAUCCAACCUGACCAUCUAGUCUCGAUACACCCAUAUAUAUAUGUGUAUAUAUAUAUAUAUAUAGAUAUUUCUUCUUUUUUUGUGUUUUUUUUCGCAAUGGACAAUAAAAAUAACGCAGUUCUCCGUGAAGGAGGGAUGGUGGGUGGAAUAUAUAUAUACAUAUAUAUAAAAUAAUUGUCACACACCUGGGGUGACAUGCCUUGCCUGCUCCCCCAAUUUUAGUGCACCUUAGUUAUCCAACCUGACCAUCUAGUCUCGAUACACCCAUAUAUAUAUGUGUGUAUAUAUAUAUAUAUAUAUAUAUAUAUAUAUAUAUAUAUAUAUAUAUAUAUAGAGAGAGAGAGAGAGAGAUAUUUCUUCUUUUUUUGUGUUUUUUUUCGCAAUGGACAAUAAAAAUAACGCAGUUCUCCGUGAAGGAGGGAUGGUGGAUGGAAUAUAUAUAUACAUAUAUAUAAAAUAAUUGUCACACACCUGGGGUGACAUGCCUUGCCUGCUCCCCCAAUUUUAGUGCACCUUAGUUAUCCAACCUGACCAUCUAGUCUCGAUACACCCAUAUAUAUAUGUGUAUAUAUAUACAUAGAUAUUUCUUCUUUUUUUGUGUUUUUUUUCGCAAUGGACAAUAAAAAUAACGCAGUUCUCCGUGAAGGAGGGAUGGUGGAUGGAAUAUAUAUAUACAUAUAUAUAAAAUAAUUGUCACACACCUGGGGUGACAUGCCUUGCCUGCUCCCCCAAUUUUAGUGCACCUUAGUUAUCCAACCUGACCAUCUAGUCUCGAUACACCCAUAUAUAUAUGUGUAUAUAUAUAUAUAUAGAUAUUUCUUCUUUUUUUUGUGUUUUUUUUCGCAAUGGACAAUAAAAAUAACGCAGUUCUCCGUGAAGGAGGGAUGGUGGGUGGAAUAUAUAUAUACAUAUAUAUAAAAUAAUUGUCACACACCUGGGGUGACAUGCCUUGCCUGCUUGUGGGAUGAGGAAGAUUCAGGGACUGGAAAUGGGAUUGAAACUGAAGAUGUUCUCAUUCCUUUUUGUAUUGUUUACAAAUUUUCCUUCCCCCAGAUAUGAGGAGUUUGCUGCUAUAUUGUGCACUAUUUGAGAUUCUGAUGCUGGUAUUUUUAUUGUUUAUAAGUUUGUUAUUGUUUUCAAGUUCUUUUGUGCUUUUGCAUUUUUCCUUCUGUUUUAGUAAUUGCUGUUUGAUGUCUGUGAAGGAUGGGUGGGGUGAGAAAACUCAGGGACUGGAAGCGGGAUUAAAACUGAAGAUUACAUGCUCAUUCCUUUUUGUUUUGUUUACAAAUUCUCCUACCGUCUGAUAUGAGGAGUUUGCUGCUAUAUUGUGUACUAAUAGAGAUUCUGAUGCUGCUAUUUUUAUUGUUUAUAAAUGUGUUAUUGUUUCCAAGUUGAGUAUUCAAUAAAUGCUAAAUUGAGA